UCCCUAUUCCAGCUGCCAACCUGCAGUGGUAAAGCUGUCGGUAAAUCUAACAGCACUGCAGAUGGCUCACGUCUUGAGUAUCUUUGCUUUCAGGCAUCCAGUUAAACCCAGAACUGAGCAGUUGUCCACUGCAAGCUAGGCCCUCAGAACGUCUAUGUUCACACUAGCAGACUGCUAUGGUUUCAGCUCAAAUGCGCAUUCACACAAACCAGCCGUAGGUUAGGCCCAGAGUUCACAACCUCAGGCCUUGUUUGCACAGAUAUUUGCAUAUGUUGCUGUCGUUUAAACCGGUGUUCUUUAGAGGCUGGCACCUCACAUCUAAUUCACCUGUGGCUAAAGCCUCUGGAACACUCCUUGAGGAGCUUCAGGCCACCCCUCUAUCACAUUUCUGACCCACUCUCUCCGCAUUUCCUACCUUCAAGGUGCUCAGGCAGACCCCGCACAGGAGGAUUGGCCAGGGAAACAGGAUCUGUGUUCACUUCAGCAUUUCAAAUCUGCCCUAGAAGCACGGAAAUGCAAAUAACCCUCAGAAACAAGUUGUAUAGCCCACAUGCUACGUGUAGAGAUGGAGCGGGAAAGAGAACAACUGUAAGCAAAGCCACCCACUGCAAUACUUCUGCUUUGUUUAAAACUGCAUCGUUGCUGAGAAGUGUUUGUUGCCAGCUACCGCAAGAACUGUCAGCAGAAGGUUUCUCAUGGCAGAGCAACACUGGUUUGUGGACCAGAGGGGCCUAAGAUACAGAAGUGGUUUCAAUCAUUUCUGGAGCAUUCAUAUAGGAAAAUAUUUAGCUGUGAAAAGAAGACUCAGUACUUGCGAAGUGUCUGAAUAUGAAGAAGAUGUGGAUGAAAGGAUUUGAGUCCUAAUAUUGACACUUUUACUUCCAUUUAUC